GACGAAGGAUGCAAGCGUUAUCCGGAUUCAUUGGGUUUAAAGGGAGCGUAGGUGGCCUUAUAAGUCAGUGGUGAAAUCUCUGGGCUUAACCCAGAAAUUGCCAUUGAUACUGUAGGGCUUGAGUAUAGAUGCCGUUGGCGGAAUAUGACAUGUAGUGGUGAAAUACAUAGAGAUGUCAUAGAACACCGAUUGCGAAGGCAGCUAACGAAACUAUAACUGACACUGAGGCUCGAAAAGUGUGGGGAUCGAAACAGG
rnacentral:rRNA from 1 species